AGGAAAGAAAACGAAAACCAGACAAAAAUGUAAAUGGUUUCGUGGACUUACAUGGAUGUAUCUCUUAUUUCUUGGUCUUGCUGAUCAAGAAUAAGCCAGCAGGCACACUGCCAGCACAAAAAGAAGAUGGCAUGACAGAACAAGUCUCACUAAGAGGAUAAUAAUUUACAUAUGAAGAAAAUGGGAGAUGUAAGAAGUGACUGUGUGCUAGCUUCAGAGAACAGCCCAUGCAAAAAUGGCAUGCUCCCAUUAUGGAUACAGCAUCCAAAGUACAAAAGCGCAGGUCUGAGGCCUUUCCAGGGUGAGUGUCUAUGGCUGUUGUGCUGCAUCUCAUCUGCAGAUCCCAAUCUGAUCCUGCCUUAGCUCUCUUUUCUUACUUAAAGACUCACAAAUCCUAAAACGGAAAUAGCUCCAAAUUAAACAAAGCAAUUGCAAAGACCACAC